UAAGACGAGUGUGGCAAGCGUUGUUCGGAAUUACUGGGCAUAAAGAGCACGUAGGCGGUUUUGUAAGUCAGAUGUGAAAGCCCUCGGCUCAACCGAGGAACUGCAUUUGAAACUACAGAACUAGAACCAAGGAGGGGAGAGUGGAAUUCCUGGUGGAGCGGUGAAAUGCAUAGAUAUCAGGAGGAACGCCGGCGGCGAAAGCGACUCUCUGGUCUUGUGUUGACGCUGAGGUGCGAAAGCUAGGGGAGCGAAGAGGAUUAGAUACCCUCGUAGUCCUAGCCGUAAACGAUGGGCACUUGAUUGAGGGGCGCUCCGAUGCGUUUCUCAGUCGGAGCUAAUGCGUUAAGUGCCCCGCCUGGGGAGUACGGCCUCAAGGCUA
rnacentral:rRNA from 1 species